rnacentral:rRNA from 1 species
GACGAACGCUGGCGGCGUGCUUAACACAUGCAAGUCGAACGAUGAAGCGCCAGCUUGCUGGUGUGGAUUAGUGGCGAACGGGUGAGUAACACGUGAGUAACCUGCCCCCUACUCUGGGAUAAGCCUGGGAAACUGGGUCUAAUACUGGAUAUGACCAAUCACUGCAUGGUGUGUUGGUGGAAAGAUUUUUUGGUGGGGGAUGGACUCGCGGCCUAUCAGCUUGUUGGUGGGGUAAUGGCCUACCAAGGCGACGACGGGUAGCCGGCCUGAGAGGGCGAACGGCCACAAUGGGACUGAGACACGGCCCAGACUCCUACGGGAGGCAGCAGUGGGGAAUAUUGCACAAUGAGCGAAAGCCUGAUGCAGCGGCGCCGCGUGAGGGAUGACGGCCUUCGGGUUGUAAACCUCUUUCGCCAGGGACGAAGCUAACGUGACGGUACCUGGAGAAGAAGCACCGGCUAACUACGUG